CGUACAGAAGAAGAGCAGGGGCGACUCCCCACUCUCAAACCCUAAAAACUCACUAAACUUGCAAAUUGAAGGCUCAAUCCAAGUCAAAAUCGAAAUUAAAGUGUAGAUUAUUGAUCCUCAUCACAAGAGGAUUACAAGUUGGCGCUUAAACAAGCCAGGUGAAGCUUGGAGUGAAAGCGGGUCAAACGAGUCAAGCAUAGAAGAAAAGCAUAGCUCGGAUGCAAGGUGAAUGUCGAGAGUGCACGGAUGGAGAUCAAGCGUCGAGCAAGAACCGAACACGAAUACGAAAUAAGCUUCCGCGCUAUGUAUCGUUAUUAUGUUAAACG